rnacentral:tRNA from 1 species
ACUUUCAAAGGAUAAUAGCAAUCCAAUGGUCUUAGGCACCAUCCAUCUUGGUGCAAAUCCAAGUGAAAGUA